CAUCUUGGGGCGACGGCCAGAAGUCCAGGGCUAGGAGCCUCAGCCGGCGGACGCCAGGAAACAGCAGUUACUGAUGCUACAAUAUUCCUUUAUGAAGCCAAGAACUGAACCAAAAUACAAACAACAUAAACUACCACUUGAUGAGAAGAACUUCAAAGUCAAAUUGCAAAAGGGAAAUUGAAAUAUAACCAACUAACUCAGGAGACAUCAUGGAAGAUGUCACACAGUGAAUGAUGAUGAAGCAGAAUUUUUAAAAUGUGUAGGAUUACGAGAAGUGGAUUUUCCAGUUGUGGUUUCUAUAAAGAAAAACAAACAUUCUGAAGACAGUUUUUCCAGAUUUAUUCCAGAUAUCGAUGAUUAACUUUUGAAGCUCCUCUGUUGAUUUGAACAUCCGCUGAAGCUUAUUUUUCACCUCAGAAUAGCAUCAACAUUAUUUGAAAUUCAAUUGUACUUUCUCGUUACAUUAAUAAAUCAUGGAAGUUG
rnacentral:lncRNA from 1 species